rnacentral:rRNA from 1 species
GAUUAACGCUAGCGGCAGGCAUAAUACAUGCAAGUUGAACGGGAUUAGUUGUAGCAAUAUGACUAUGAGAGUAGCGCACGGGUGCGUAACGCGUAUGCAACCUGCCUCCAACUGGGGAAUAGCCCCUCGAAAGAGGGAUUAAUACCGCAUAAAAUAGUGAAUAGGCAUCUAUUUACUAUUAAAACUACGGUGGUUGGAGAUGGGCAUGCGUGACAUUAGCUAGUUGGUAGGGUAAUGGCCUACCAAGGCUACGAUGUCUAGGGGGUCUGAGAGGAUGUCCCCCCACACUGGUACUGAGAUACGGACCAGACUCCUACGGGAGGCAGCAGUAGGGAAUAUUGGUCAAUGGAGGCAACUCUGAACCAGCCAUGCCGCGUGCAGGAUGACGGCCCUAUGGGUUGUAAACUGCUUUUGUACGGGAAGAAACCUCAUUACGUGUAAUGAGUUGACGGUACCGUGAGAAUAAGGAUCGGCUAACUUCGUGCCAGCAGCCGCCGCGG